rnacentral:rRNA from 1 species
ACUCAACGCCGGCAACCGUACCGGGAUAAGACAUAAGGAGGAAUGACAGGCUGAUCGCUCUUUCUUGAUUUUAUGGGUGGUGGUGCAUGGCCGUUCUUAGUUGGUGGAGUAGAUUUGUCUGGUUAAUUCCGUUAACGAACGAGACCUUAACUGGCUAAUUAGGAUUUUUAUUUCAUAUUUUAUCCUUCUUACAAAGACGGUGAAUUUAUAAUUCAAGGAAGCUGGAGGCUUUACCCGGUCUGUGAUCCCCAAUGCCCA